rnacentral:rRNA from 1 species
UAAGGGGUGGGUAAGGACGGUGCCAGCCGCCGCGGUAAUACCGGCGCCUCAAGUGGUAGUCGCUUUUAUUGGGCCUAAAACGUCCGUAGCCGGUCUGGUNCAUUCGUGGGUAAAUCAACNCGCUNAACGNGUUGAAUUCUGCGAGNACGGCCAGACUUGGGACCGGGAGAGGUGUGGGGUACUCUCAGGGUAGGGGUAAAAUCCUGUCAUCCUGAGAGGACCACCUGUUGCGAAGGCNCCACACUAGAACGGAUCCGACGGUCAGGGACGAANCCUAGGGGCACGAACCGGAUUAGAUACCCGGGUAGUCCUAGGUGUAAACGCUGUGGACUUGAUGUUGGGGNCGCUCCGAGCGNUCUCAGUGUCGAAGCGAAGGUGAUAAGUCCACUGCCUGGGGAGUACGGUCGCAAGGCUGAAACUUAAAGGAAUUGGCGGGGGAGCACUGCAACCUGAGGAUUGUGCGGUUUAAUUGGAUUCAACGCCGGAAAACUCACCAUGACCGACGGACAUAUGAAAGCCAGUGUAACGAGCUUGCUGGAUUGUUCGAGAGGUAUUGCAUGGCCGCCGUCAGUUCGUACCGCAAGGCGUUCUGUUAAGUCAGAUAACGAACGAGACCCUCAUCCCUAUUUGCCAAGGUCUGUCCGCAGAUCACGGGACUAUAGGGAGACCGCUGGCGCGAAGUCAGAGGAAGGCGAGGGCAACGGUAGGUCAGUAUGAUCCGAAUGCCAUGGGCUACACGCGCAAUACAAAGGACGGGACAAUGGGCUGCUACUCCGAGAGGAANGAAGCUAUCCCGAAACCCGUUCGUAGUUCGGAUUGAGGGCUGUAACUCGCCCUCAUGAAGCUGGAUUAGGUAGUAAUCGCGUCUCAAUANGGCGCGGUGAAUAUGCCCCUGCUCCUUGCACACACCGCCCGUCAAACCAUCUUAGUUGNGGGUGGGUGAGGCUNCCUUGAUAAUGGGGUAUUCGAGCCUGCCUUCGACAAGGAGGGUUAAGUCGUAACAAGGUAUCUGUAGGGGAACCUGCAGAUG